rnacentral:rRNA from 1 species
GAGUUUGAUCCUGGCUCAGAUUGAACGCUGGCGGCAUGCCUUACACAUGCAAGUCGAGCGGCAGCACGGGAGCUUGCUCCUGGUGGCGAGUGGCGAACGGGUGAGUAAUGCAUCGGAACGUAUCCUGGAGUGGGGGGAUAACGUAGCGAAAGUUACGCUAAUACCGCAUAUUCUGUGAGCAGGAAAGCGGGGGACCUUCGGGCCUCGCGCUCUUGGAGCGGCCGAUGUCGGAUUAGCUAGUUGGUGAGGUAAAGGCUCACCAAGGCGACGAUCCGUAGCAGGUCUGAGAGGAUGAUCUGCCACACUGGAACUGAGACACGGUCCAGACUCCUACGGGAGGCAGCAGUGGGGAAUUUUGGACAAUGGGGGACAACCCGUGAUCCAGCCAUGCCGCGUGAGUGAAGAAGGCCUCGG